GAUGAAGAACGUAGCGAAAUGCGAUAAGUAAUGCGAAUUGCAGAAUUCCAGUGAAUCAUCGAAUCUUUGAACGCACAUUGCGCCCAUUAGCAUUCUAGUGGGCAUGCCUGUUCGAGCGUCAUUUCAACCCUUAAGCCCUGUUGCUUAGCGUUGGGAGCCUACAGUACUGUAGCUCCCCAAAGUUAGUGGCGGAGUCGGUUUCACACUCUAGACGUAGUAAUUUUUUCUCGUCUGUAGUUGAGCCGGUCCCCUGCCGUAAAACACCCAAUUUAUCAAGGUUGACCUCGGAUCAGGUAGGAAUACCCGCUGAACUUAAGCAUAUCAAUAAGCGGAGGA
rnacentral:misc_RNA from 1 species